CAGUCGCCGCGGUAAUACGUAGGUGGCAAGCGUUGUCCGGAAUUAUUGGGCGUAAAGGGCUCGCAGGCGGUUUCUUAAGUCUGAUGUGAAAGCCCCCGGCUCAACCGGGGAGGGUCAUUGGAAACUGGGAAACUUGAGUGCAGAAGAGGAGAGUGGAAUUCCACGUGUAGCGGUGAAAUGCAUAGAGAUGUGGAGGAACACCAGUGGCGAAGGCGACUCUCUGGUCUGUAACUGACGCUGAGGAGCGAAAGCGUGGGGAGCGAACAGGAUUAGAUACCCCUGUAGUCCCUGUCUCUUAUAC
rnacentral:rRNA from 1 species